AUUGAACGCUGGCGGCAGGCCUAACACAUGCAAGUCGAGCGGAUGAAGGGAGCUUGCUCCUGGAUUCAGCGGCGGACGGGUGAGUAAUGCCUAGGAAUCUGCCUGGUAGUGGGGGAUAACGUCCGGAAACGGGCGCUAAUACCGCAUACGUCCUGAGGGAGAAAGUGGGGGAUCUUCGGACCUCACGCUAUCAGAUGAGCCUAGGUCGGAUUAGCUAGUUGGUGGGGUAAAGGCCUACCAAGGCGACGAUCCGUAACUGGCCUGAGAGGAUGAUCAGUCACACUGGAACUGAGACACGGUACAGACUCCUACGGGAGGCAGCAGUGGGGAAUAUUGGACAAUGGGCGAAAGCCUGAUCCAGCAAUGCCGCGUGUGUGAAGAAGGUCUUCGGAUUGUAAAGCACUUUAAGUUGGGAGGAAGGGAAGUAAGUUAAUACCUUGCUGUUUUGACGUUACCAACAGAAUAAGCACCGGCUAACUUCGUG
rnacentral:rRNA from 1 species